CCUGGAAAACAACUACUGCUGCAGCAUUAAGCUCUCUCUGCCCUGGCAGUCUGAAGUAAGAGCUUCUGUUAAGGUAAUCUUUACCUCUCCUUUCACAGGCAUAUUCCUGGAUACCCUGCUGGAAUUGUAAGUCUUACCUUCCUUACUGGCACCUCCUCCUGCUCUCCAGCACUUCCUGACUCAGUCUGCAAGCUGUUACACAGAAACGGAUUUCACAGCACCUCUCUCUGUCUCUCAACACACUGUAGCUGCAAAACGGACUGGAACUCCUGGGGCAUAUUCCUGGAUACCCUGCUGGAAUUGUAAGUCUUACCUUCCUUACUGGCACCUCCUCCUGCUCUCCAGCACUUCCUGACUCAGUCUGCAAGCUGUAACACAGAAACGGGUCUCACAGCACCUCUCUCUGUCUCUCAACACACUGUAGCUGCAAAACGGACUGGAACUCCUGGGGAUGAGAUCAUGAAGCUGUAUCCAGAGAUUAAAGACACUAACUGAAUUAUUUUUGAGUUUUUCAUAUUUAGGUAAAAUCUGUACAGAUAAAAUUCCAUAGUGCACUCUUCAAAAGAUUGAAGAUUGAAUGCAAGUAAACCUUUUAAAGGGAGAAAAAUUAAGAUAAAAUACCUUUUGUCAAGCUUGCUUUAACCACCAUACUGCAGUAAAAGUUGCUGAACUAUCUUUGGAUCCAUUCUUUGCUUUGCAUGCUGGUACCAGCCCCAGAACUGGACUCUGGGUAAUCUAUGACUGUUUCCUCUGAUGUGUGUCUUCAGAACAUAAAGACUAUCCUUCUCUAGACUGUGCCUUGCCGGUUGAUAUUGAGGACCUGUUAUGCUGUUACAGGGUCAACCAAUUAAAUUAGGGGAGUAUUGUUUUAACUUGUUUACUUAUAUUACUUGUUUUGUAUUCUCUUGUAUUUGUGUUAUUUUUGUUGAUCAUAUUAGUUAUAAAAAAUCAUAUAGUUUUUUCUACAGAAAAGUAUGCCUUAUUGGUAUUAGUGCACAUUGUAGUUUAUGUACUUAAACAAAGUAACCCUUUAGAUAAGCGUAACUCUAAACCAUGCAGUAUUAUAACUUAUUGAAUGGCCCAUGAGUAUAGAAAAUAUGUUUGCACCUGGACAUGUCUCAGCUAGAAGUUUAUAUUAAUUAUACAGAGAAAUAUUUGUUUAGGGACUAGCAUAAUUAUAGUUUAUGAAAGCAAAUGUAGUUUGUUUCCCUUUGAUUAAUUGGAAUGGUAUCUGCAAUUUGAAUUUGGUAAUUCCAGAUGUUUGUCAAAGAAAGGAUUUAUCUUACCAUAAAGAUGUGUUUACCUUUAAGAGAUUUUGUAGUUUUAAAUAAUGUUAUGAUUGUAUUCUUUCCCCAUACAGGAGUGUGAGAGAAUUUAGGUUGCAUAAAAUAAUUAGUAAACUAGUAGUGUUUAUAUCAGAUGAGAUUGUUGACUAUUAAGAUUAUAGUUGGAGAAUUAUAAACAUUAUAGAUAGUAGCUGUGCAGAAUAAAGCAACACUAGGUUAUUUGUGUUAGUAGUUCUAAGAGAAAGUGUAAAGAAAUUCAUUUUAAAGAAAAUAUUUUUAUUGACUGUUUUAUUUUUUUCAUUUUUGUUACAGGGCAGACCUUAGCAUAAGUUUUAGCAUAGCCAUUCAGCCUCUUGAUGAAGUCUAGCAGUUUUCACUUGCUUAGUAUUCAUGAAGUAUCUUUCAAAUUGUAUAGAGAAGCUGUAAGUUAUUCUCUGUAAAAGUAUCAAUGUAUUUAGUUUGUAUUAUAUAUCCACAAUUUUUUUUUUUUUGGUUUUAAAUGACAUAGGAUGAGUUAAGCUACAGGAAUUCUUUUAAAAAAAAAUAUGAAAACAGUUUUAUUUGGACAUAAUUGUGAUUGUAUCGGGUGUGUACUCAUCUUGUGCUGUUUUGUUUUCUUCUUAGACUCCUUCUGACUCGAGUGUCUGCUUGCCAUGGAUAUCCACUGGCUGCCUUGUCUACCCCAUGAACAAACCAUCAGACUUCUAGCAUCUCCCUGCGGAAGAACACUGGAUAAGCACCCCUACUGCAAAUGAACUGUGUUAAAGCAAAGUGUCUGAGGAAGGUGAAGCGCUCUAAGAGGACAAAGACUGUUCUUAAAGUGAUCAGAGGCCACCUAGAGACAUUUGUGCUGUUCCCAUGUCAUGCUUCACUGUGGAGAGUGUACAGAGCAAAGAACUGUUGGACAUAUUGGGGAGGUGCUAGCAAUGCAGGUGGAGAAACAAAAGAUGCAGCGUUGUUUGGGAGUAGAUGGGGGGGGUGGUUGGGUCUUUGUGCAGAUAGACCAGUAGUUUAGGGAUGCUGGAAGGUAGACAGAGUGUAUUGGAGAGGCUGCACCUAUGUGCAGUGACAAAUUGUGCCCUAUUAGCCUAUAAAAUUAUACCACAACAUGUGAAUAUUUUUCUCUAUAGUAUUCUCACAUAGAGUCCUGUUCCUGUAGUAUUAGGCUCAGACUGUUGUUAAAGGCUUUCCUCAUUUUCUGUGCCUUUCUAUUUUUAUGUUAUUCUGUUAGAAUAAAAGGGUGGUAUGUUAGGAAUUGUUAGCAUGGCUAGCGCCAUCUUGUUCUUGAGCGCCAUUUUGUCUUAGGCAUCCAUCUUGUCUAAUUAAUCUUUUAUUAUAGCAGUUAUUAUGUAGUGAGAAAUAUGCUGAUGUUAGUAAGAAUUGUAUUAGUAAUAUUGGCCUUGCAAAGGUUCCUGGCAAGACGCCCGGAAGUCCGUUAUCUAGGUAAGAGGCCGAAAUGACCUUGCUUUAAGCUGAAAUAGGCGCACAGAUGUAUUUUCGCUACUGUUAUAAGAAACACUCCUUCAUACUCCUCUUUCUCUCAUAUAUUUUAAUAAGCUUCUUUUGUUCCUGAAAUAUGGUAUGAUAUGACGCAGUCAUAACGUGUCAUCAAGUUAACCCUGUAUGCUGUACUUGCUGUCUAUAAGACAUGUUGUGUGUCUUUCAAUAAACAUAAUCGUUUUUAGACUCA